rnacentral:rRNA from 2 species
GCUAUACAUGCAAGUCGAACGGGUGGUAGCNNAUACCACUAGUGGCGCACGGGUGCGUAACGCGUAACCAACCUGCCCUUGACUGGGGGAUAGCCCGCCGAAAGGCGGAUUAAUACCGCAUAAACUAGCAGCCUGGCAUCAGGCAACUAGUAAAGAUUUAUUGGUCAAGGAUGGGGUUGCGUGACAUUAGCUAGUUGGCGGGGUAACGGCCCACCAAGGCGACGAUGUCUAGGGGACCUGAGAGGGUGAUCCCCCACACUGGCACUGAGAUACGGGCCAGACUCCUACGGGAGGCAGCAGUAGGGAAUAUUGGGCAAUGGGCGAGAGCCUGACCCAGCCAUGCCGCGUGCCGGAUGAAGGCCUUCUGGGUUGUAAACGGCUUUUCUCAGGGAAGAAAAAGGGUAUGCGUACUCAACUGACGGUACCUGAGGAAUAAGCACCGGCUAACUCCGUGCCAGCAGCCGCGGUAAUACGGAGGGUGCAAGCGUUGUCCGGAUUUAUUGGGUUUAAAGGGUGCGUAGGCGGCCCGUUAAGUCCGGGGUGAAAGCCCACAGCUCAACUGUGGAACUGCCCUGGAUACUGGCGGGCUUGAGUCCAGACGAGGUUGGCGGAAUGGAUGGUGUAGCGGUGAAAUGCAUAGAUACCAUCCAGAACCCCGAUUGCGAAGGCAGCUGACUAGGCUGGUACUGACGCUGAGGCACGAAAGCGUGGGGAGCGAACAGGAUUAGAUACCCUGGUAGUCCACGCCGU